CGCAUGCGUGUAACGAACGUUGCAAGCACGUUCGAUUCAAAAUUCUGUUCUUGUCAAAAGUUUUUAGAAAUAUUUAUUUUAACAGCUUUUAUCUGCUUAAAACCUCGCUAUUUUCCUAUGAAACAGUGUGCUGGGUAAUAAAUAAAGCAAACGGAAUAGCAUUUGUUGGAGUAUUAAGUGUUUUUUAUUAAGAAAUAAGCAGAAUAUAUCAUGUCUUUAGCGGAUGAAUUACUAGCAGAUCUGGAAGAGAUUGGAGACGAAGGCAAUGUCGACCUUAUCGACAAUGACAACAUCGAAGAAGCAAUGGAAACUAGCGAUAGUUUCGACACGAAAUCCGUUAAGCACAUCGCUAAGCUAAGAGAUGGCAAACAGCUAAGUGAUGUCCUUGAAAAGAUCCAGGAAUUCUCUCAGACACCCAGAGGACAAAUGUUUGGACCAAGUGAAACAGACCCGGAGUAUCAGCUUAUUGUUGAAGCUAAUAAUCUCACUGUAGAAAUUGAUAACGAGAUUAGUAUUAUACAUAAAUACACCAGAGAUCAGUAUGCGAAACGAUUUCCCGAGUUGGAAUCGCUCGUUCCUAGCGCGUUAGAUUACAUUAAGACCAUUCAAUUACUCGAUAACGACCUUGAGGUUGCUAACGUUGACCUAACAGAGAUCUUACCUCCUGCGACAAAGAUGGUCGUUAGUGUAACAGCGUCAACAACGCAAGGGGAACGUUUGGAAAACGAUGAACUCGAGCGAGUUAUGGAAGCUUGUCAAAUGGCGUUAGAUCUCGUCGAAGCUAAAGCAAAGAUUUUUAAAUAUGUUGAGUCGCGUAUGUCAUUUAUUGCACCAAACACAUCCUGGAUUGUAGGGGCGACUGCUGCUGCCAAGCUGAUGGGGAGUGCCGGGGGUUUAACAGGAUUGUCCAAAAUGCCAGCCUGUAAUGUGCUGUUGUUAGGAUCACAGAGAAAAACCCUGACUGGCUUCUCAAGUGCAGCAAUCAUGCCCCACACCGGUCAUAUUUAUCACUGUGAUUUAGUUCAG